CACCGCGGUGAUACGAAAGGCUCAAGCUGACAGCCCCCGGCGUAAAGCGUGGUUAGGGCACAUUUAAAUUAAAGCCGAACACCCCUUAGGCAGUUAAAAGCUUAUAGAGGGAUGAAGCCCACUUACGAAAGUAGCUUUAUUUUUCCUGAACCCACGAAAGCUAAGAAA
rnacentral:rRNA from 1 species